UCUCACGGAGCCGGCACCGCCCCAACCACCGGCACCGUCGGCACCGUUGACUCGUCCGGUCCAAUCUAGGGGGAAACCUGCCUUGAUGCGCCCUCCAUCGCAGGGGCUGGAACCACGGCACCGGUCCAGGUCCCGAAGCAGGUCUCCACGCCGCUCGCAGUCCCGGCGCCGGAUAUCACCUCGGCACCGGUCGUACUCGCAGCCAAGAUCAUCGUCGCGGCACCGCUCUACGUCUCAGCACCGCUACGAUCGUCGGCACCGAUCGACAUCGAGACGUAGUUCUCGGCACCGAUACGAUCGACGCUCGACGUCGAGAGGCCGCUCCCGGCACCGGGCCUACUCCAGGUCAUCGUCCAGGUCCAGAUCCGACUCCCGGCACCGGCGAGGUCAUCGGCACCGAUCGCGAUCUCGGCACCGAUCACCGACACCGCGUAGAGAUAGAACAUCUCCAGACCAGCACCGUGCGGCACCGUAUCCCACGGGAUUCGUCUCGGCGCAGUCGGCACCGCCAUGGCCAUCGAGAUCGGUGUCUCGCUCCUCUGAGGACAUAUCGAGAUCGGCAUACCCCCCUCAGGGGCAAGCCGAGGAGCAAGAUAUAGGCCAUUGGCAGGAGGUAGCAGAGGACCCUGCUCAUGGCCCAUCUCACUGGUCGUUCUGGACCCCGUGGGCGUACCAUCAGGCGCAAGGGGCUCCAAUAACUUCAACCUCUCGCUCGGGUCACUCUGACAGAAGGGCCCCAGAGUCCACCAUCUCUCGCCCUCCUCCAGGGGGCAUGGAGGCUUCCGUGUCCGCACCACCUGACGUCCUGGACCCAAGGGCAGGUGAUGCUCCGGCCCAGGAACAGGGAGACCAGGACCCUCCCUUGGAUCCCUUGCCACCGGAGGCAUCUUCCUCUUCCUCUCCGGAUGAGGCAGUGGCGGGCACGUCGUGCACAGGUCCACCCCCAAUAGAUCUUCGGGCUCAUCAGGACCUCUUACGUAGGAUGGCCCGUAAUAUGGACCUACAGGCGGAGGAGAUAGUGGAGGUGCAGGACCCCAUUGUA
rnacentral:lncRNA from 1 species